GAUGAACGCUGGCGGCGUGCCUAAUACAUGCAAGUCGAGCGAAGCGGGGACGGGUGAGUAACACGUGGAUAACCUCCUAUAAGACUGGGAUAAAUUCGGGAAACCGGAGCUAAACCGGAUACUUAUACAUGGAUCCGCGCCGCAUUAGCUAGUGGGUAUGGUAACGGCUUACCAAGGCCACGAUGCGUCGCCGACCUGAGAGGGUGAUCGGCCACACUGUAACUGAGACACGGUCCAGACUCCUACGGGAGGCAGCAGUAGGGAAUAUUCCACAAUGGGCGAAAGCUUGACGGAGCAACGCCGCGUGAGUGAUGAAGGCCUUCGGAUCGUAAAACUCUGUUAUUAGGGAAGCGGUACCUGAACAGAAAGCACCGGCUAACUACGUGCCAGCAGCCGCGGUAAUAC
rnacentral:rRNA from 1 species